rnacentral:rRNA from 1 species
GAGUAAUGUCUGGGAAACUGCCUGAUGGAGGGGGAUAACUACUGGAAACGGUGGCUAAUACCGCAUAACGUCGCAAGACCAAAGAGGGGGACCUUCGGGCCUCUUGCCAUCAGAUGUGCCCAGAUGGGAUUAGCUUGUUGGUGAGGUAACGGCUCACCAAGGCGACGAUCCCUAGCUGGUCUGAGAGGAUGACCAGCCACACUGGAACUGAGACACGGUCCAGACUCCUACGGGAGGCAGCAGUGGGGAAUAUUGCACAAUGGGCGCAAGCCUGAUGCAGCCAUGCCGCGUGUAUGAAGAAGGCCUUCGGGUUGUAAAGUACUUUCAGCGGGGAGGAAGGUGUUGUGGUUAAUAACCGCAGCAAUUGACGUUACCCGCAGAAGAAGCACCGGCUAACUCCGUGCCAGCAGCCGCGGUAAUACGGAGGGUGCAAGCGUUAAUCGGAAUUACUGGGCGUAAAGCGCACGCAGGCGGUCUGUCAAGUCGGAUGUGAAAUCCCCGGGCUCAACCUGGGAACUGCAUUCGAAACUGGCAGGCUUGAGUCUUGUAGAGGGGGGUAGAAUUCCAGGUGUAGCGGUGAAAUGCGUAGAGAUCUGGAGGAAUACCGGUGGCGAAGG